AAACUAAAAAAUAAAAAAAAAAGGUCUGUGCAAUCAAUUAAAAUAUGAAAUGUGAAUAUUGCCCUAUCAUGGUGAAGAUGGAACUACAGCCAAGAAAUAACCGACAUUUCAGCCAAAUUGAUCUAAUAUAUUCAGGCAUCAUUAUCACUGGUUUUAAAAUACCAAAAAAGAAACAGGCUUUCAUUUCACUUGAUUUACCAAGAGAAGUCAUAAUAGAAUGAACACAUGCUAACCUGCAAUAGUCGCUUUGAGAAUGCAGAAACACGCUUCAAAUUUACAUCAUUUUUCAU
rnacentral:misc_RNA from 1 species